rnacentral:rRNA from 1 species
UACGUAGGGGGCUAGCGUUGUCCGGAAUCAUUGGGCGUAAAGAGCGUGUAGGCGGUCCGGUAAGUCCGCUGUGAAAGUCGGGGGCUCAACCCUCGAAUGCCGGUGGAUACUGUCGGGCUAGAGUGCGGAAGAGGCGAGUGGAAUUCCUGGUGUAGCGGUGAAAUGCGUAGAGAUCGGGAAGAACAUCGGUGGCGAAAGCGCUCUGCUGGACUGCAACUGACACUCAGGGACGAAAGCUAGGGGAGCGAAUGGG